UAGACCUGAACGAGGUUGCAGAAGGUAUUUGGGUUGGUGAUUGGAACUGUGGUCCACUGAGUGUUAGCAUCUGAAGACUGUCUUGGUUCUUAGAUGUUGCUUAUCAGUGAUGCUGCUACUGGUUAUCACUGCACUUUAUCAAAUAGCAUCCCCAUUUCAAUUGAGAAUGAAGAGGUUCUUGGAUAAAGAACUUAUAAAAAUCAGCCUAGAAGAUGGACGUUUGGCAAGCCAUAAUAGACUGCUCCUUUCCCAGGUAUCUCCUGCUUGUUUCCUUUAUCUGUGAAUAGGAAAUGGCUUAAAGGCACCUGUGUGAUGAAGGUCCCAGGGGCAGCUGCCUGACUACUGAAUGCCUGAUUAUGUGUUAACAUGCUUUGUCAGAUAUUGGCAGAAUCUGUUCUCUUCUUUUGCCUUUUCAGCAAGGGUACCAUUGACAGGCUGGCUACCCAUUUAUAGAAAUGUUGUCCAUCAAACUGUGAGGAAGGACAAUAGUGUUUUUCUGUGGCCAGUGACUGUGGGAAACUUUUCUUUGGCUAUUCAGGCAAUUUUUGUAGCUUGCUCUGAAGAGGAGAGACUGAUGAGUGCAAAAAGUACAAUUAAGCAAAGCCAGACUUCAAUUGAAGGCUCUAGUGUAGUCUGCUGUUCUCCUUUUUUUUUUUUAAUUUAGAAGGGGGGAAAAACCCUAUGGGUUUUCAUGUUGCUGUGUGGCAUUCAGCAGGGGGCUAUUACAAUCCUAAAUUUUUUUUCUAGACCACCUAAUUCUAAGUUAAAAUUAAAUGUAAUGAGAGCCACUUGGAGUUCUGAAUAUUUUAAAGCAUAAUUCCCACAGAAGGGAUUCGACCUAAACUGCAGUGAGCAUCAGUUGGCUAAUUAUAGCUGCAUUUUAUAUUACAGCAGGUGUCAGAUGCAGUCAUCUCAAUAAAGUCCACAUAAUACUCGGGAAAUAACAAAGACUUUUCUUUGAAUGUGGGUACUAAUUUCUGCUAGGUGUCAUAUGAGCCUUGAUACUUCUUAUUGGCAUUAACAAGAGCACUGCAGCACUCAGAAAUGCUUUUUGCUUGGGAUGAAUUGAUACUGUAAAGCACUUACCAGUCAGACUUGACAGAUGUCAGUAGUUAAUACUAAUGUUGCAGAGGUCGGAAUAUAAUGCAAAGAGUCUUAUGUAAAUACUCUUAGAUGAUGGGCUGGUUUUGAGAAGGCGCCUGAGCACUGCACCAACUCACUUAAUGAAAGUUAAAUAGAUAGCAGUGGGGUAUCUGCUUUUACUUUGGCUCCUGCUUUAUUGCAAGUCCUCCAGAAGUGAAGGGCAGAUGGUAAGGCAGUAAACUAGGUGAACAAAUACACUGGACUUGGAUAAGGACUUGUUAUGUUCACAGCACUUUCCUUGAGCUUGUGUGGGUGAUUCAAAUUACUAAAGUUAUAGGUCAAAAGCAUGCCUGAAGAUAAGAGCUCCUGUGUAUAUCCCACAGAUAAAAAAUAAAUUUAAUUUAGAAAAUAUGUCUGCAACUGAAAAACAAUUAGACAAUGGCAUAGGCAAGACAAAUGUCUCUUUAAAAUCAUGGCAAUUGUUCCACACUGCUCCGUACUUUUAGGAGUUUUACGGUUUGUCUAACCUAUUGUAAUCACAUUGGAUCACAGCAAGUGAGAUCAAAACAGAAGACCUAUUAAAAUCUUAUUACAAAAUAUCGAUGAGAUAAGACAAAUGUGAACUUUUUACACACAUGCCAUUCUGGGAUCAACACUAUUUAUUUUAAAUCUAAUUCAGAGGUAACAAAGCAAAGAGAAUUGUCCCUAAUUAUAUCUCCCAAAACAGUUUCGGGUUCUCAUUUUGGCAGGUUACAGUUUAUGUACAUCUCAUAGCAAAUUCUGUAGGGUGCUGUCAGCAAUUAGGCAGAAAUUGCCUUCAGUAAUUUAAUAUUCAUUUAGCAUUGGUUCAAUAAAUGAAUGAACACUGAUAGGAGCAAAGCACUGUUAAGCCCAGAAAUAAAAUCUAAGGUAAAACAGAAGACACA